CCCGAUUUCCGUUCAAUUCCAAUAUGGUUCAAAAAUAUUUCUUGUCAAUUCAGUUUUGCCCAGUUCAGCAAAUUACUUUAUCUGCAGAAAGGAACAAUGACAAAAAUUAAACUUCCAUGAAACUGUAUCGUAUUCCAACAAAGAGAAGCUACUUGAUGCCGAAGGACUUCUGCUCUGUUUAGAAUAACAUACAGAUACCAUAAUCCACCACUUGAUUACAGUAACUUUGGACAAGACAGCAAACUGUGAGAGCAUCAUUAAACAUUUCAGAACAAACCGCGAGACCAGUAACUUAUUAGAAGAUUGAGUUAAAUAUGCCUGAAUGAACAGACUCUAUCUGAUCUCUUUGGCGACUCCUAAUUCCUUGUGGACUCCAUUGAAAGUAGAAAGCAUUGUGGAGCGCAUGUUUGCUAUUUCUACGAGUGUCUCCAGAGCUGUCUCAAAUGAUAGUUGGGCAGCUCGAAGCUGCGGGGAAACCAAAGUACCAAACACAGAUAGUGAUUUUGAUCGCUUCUUUUGAACCUACACCAGAAAAAUAUAACUCAUACAUUUCAUAAAUUAUUAACAUGUCUAAGAUGGUACUACCAAAAAGUUUACUGUGAAAUAUGGAUCCUUACAAAUCAAAUAGCUAUAUAAUCCAUUCAACAACCCUGGAACUUUUCUUUCACAGUUUUUAUCAUUCUGUUCUGCCUUAGUAUAUUCAUUUUUUGUUUAUUUUACAGCUGAACAGAUAUGGGUGUCUGUUUCCUACAAGAACAUGUAGCACAACACAUGGUGAACUCAAAACAACAUAAAUUGCAGAAUAUAUAAAGUGAAUUUUGUGGAAUCCUUACUUGGUCAUCAACCAUCAGAGGAGCUUGCUUUGGAGAGAUUUCCUCUUAAUCAAAUUGAAAAUAGUAAAUAAGAGAGAACCCACCAGAGAGAAAUCAGUCAAAAAGCAGAAAAGAAUCCAGAAAUCAACUUAUAAUUUUCCAUAAUUGCAAGUGGUGAGAAAUGCCCCAAAUGCAUAGAAAUGAACAUUUUCAAUGAAAGCACAAAAAAUUUCCACGAAUAAGGAGAACAUAAUACCAGAAAGCUGGGGUUUUCCCCGAUGCCGUGGCAGUGGACUGCCAGAUUUCCCUUGCAAUCCAUCCACUUUGGAAUUUUGAUCCUCAUAACUGCAUUUACCAUCAUACAAGGAUCCCCAUUUACGCAAGAUAAAGUGUGGUUGCUCUUCCAUGGAAUCAACAAUAUCUGGCGUUACUUGCAGUGAGGUAGAAGCAGAGUGGACUUUAAGGUCCAAUAACGAGCUAUUGACGCGUGAAGCCCCCAUGGAAUGUCGAGCACUAACCAAUUCCAGCCAUCCCUGGCGAAGUGUACAGGAUAAAGAAUCGAAAAGAGUCAAAUAGUUGUCUACAGAAUCCAGAAAUCGCAAAACAUGUUCGUCUCCUACUUGUUUUUGUUGCUGCUGUGGUUCUUCUUCAAGCUUUAGCUCUUGGUUUUGCUUCAUUCCAAUUUCAAAGUCGAUUUCUUUCUUUUCCUCUUCCAUGAGCCUCAGCCGAAAAAAAACCGAACCGAAUACAUAUGUUCCUUUAAGCUAAGAAGGACAAUAUCCGAUUGUCCAAAGCCUAAGAGAAGCCCAGCCCAUUCCCCAAGCCCUCUAAACCUAAAGCCCAGCCAAUCCCUUCCCACACCACCCCCCGCCCUUUUCCUUAAUUUCGUCGUCUCACUCCCUACACCACAUAUCCCGACUCCCGCCCCUCUGAUCCGACUCUUUAGGGGUGUGCCGCACAGUCCAGUGCCCAUCUCGUGGCGACGCCUCCGAGGUCCGAGCGAUUAGCGACGCCUUAUCACUGCUAUCCAUCGAUUCGUUUGUUGAACUGCAAUUUCUGCCCUUUGUUGAACUGCUGUGAAAUCGAUAAACGAACCGAAUCGGUUCGGUUUUCAUUUUACAUCGUUCGGUUCGACAGAAUGCUCACCUGUAUUUUAAGACUUUUUGUGGAUCUUAAUGUAAAUUCAAAAACUUUAGAGGAGUAAUUUGUGAUUUGAAGAAACGGUGCCGUUGCAUUUGCUAGAAACCGGCGGCGGAAAGGUUUUGGAGCGAGAAAACAGAGGUUGCAGAAGCAGCAGAAGAAGGGUUUUGAAGCCGCUAUGGAAUCAAUUGUGAAAAAAUAUCAGCAGAGAUUCAGAAAGGUCAAAGAAGAAAUGGACAAAUGGGACCAUCAUCGAUCUCGCUUGCUUUCGCAAUUCAGAAACGCUUGUUCCAUAAUCGAGAGGUUAAAGGUCAUUUUUUUCCCUAAUUUGAUAAAUUUUUUUAACUAUUUCUUUUUCUUGUUGGAUUCUCACCCACAAAAAAUAAAACAAAAGAUACAAACUUUGUUAUCAGGUGAUUCAAGAUUCUAACAAUUAUGGGGCUUUGAAUAGUGUGAGUGGCAUAGUAGAUGCAGUGUUGAGAAAGCAAAUGGAGUCCUUAGAGACCAUUUUUCUUUCCAUGAACAAGACACUGGAAGAGUUUCGUGGAAUUGUAUUGUUUCUUGAGAAGAUGCAUCGGGAUGGUAGGCUAUUUGUUAAAGUGGGUUCUAAUCAGCUGACAGCAAAACAGUUGCAGCAACGAAUUGGUAUUAAGCCAUGUCUUGCUGAUUGCUUGGAUGGGCUUAUGAUUCUUCAUGAUAUGCAUCGCUCAGAGUACAAGUUUGGAUUAGUUUAUAAGCUUUUUAAUAUGUGAAAGAAUGCAUUUUUCUGCCUAUUCUUUCACGCUGAAUAAUCAUUGGCAGACUCAUAUUAUUUAAAACUUAAUGGCCAUUCUAAUUUUCUGGCAGGUAUCUUCUUAAAUCAUCUGUGGUAUCAGCACUUCCAGCGCAUAUCUUGAAACCCAGUUCCAGUGAUCUAGCUGCACUCCAGCAACUCAUGGUUGAUCAGCCUAAUAUCCCCAAAGAGGAAGGUAGAUAGCAGAUAAUGAAGCAUGUGAAGAAGUUAAUUUAUUUCAGUGUGCCUACUGCAUGCUCUCAUUUAUACUUGUUUCUGCAUUUUUUAUGUGCAUAUCCACUUCAAGUGUAUGUGGCUCGGCCACUUUCUUUCUUGGCUAAUCAAUUAUAAUUCUAGCUAAUGCCAGCUAAAUUGAAUAAGAUUUAUGGGUGAGAAUCAGUUUAUGGAAUAGUAAGUGGAACAUAGUGGGGAAUUGACUUUGAGAUGGAAUCUCCUAGGCAAAAAAAUAUGUUCUUUGACUUUGAGAUAACUUUCACAUUGUUAUCCUUACAUUUUUAAUGUUUUUGAGUUCCUGUUGUCUUGAAAUAUCCUCAAUUUUGUUUGACAAAAUAACUGAAUCAGAACUCAGAAGAGGUAUAAACAUUCUAUCUAACGUAUUAUUUUGAAUUUACUAGGAGUCUGGAGAUUGUUUAAUCAUAUGACAGAUGGUUUUCCAUUACAAAACUUAACAAUGUUGGUUUUCUGUUGGAGAGCCCUAGAUGAACUUGUGAAAAAUGAUGAAACUUUCCUACCUGACUGAUUUCAUUUAGUUGAAUAGACCCUGCAAGUGUAUGUUUUUGCUUAUCCAAUGGUUUAACCUAAACUCCAUCAUCUAUUCUUUAGCGUUAUCAAACUGUUAUUAUUAACAUUUGCUAAUUUCUACUUUCACUUCUCCCUCUUAACUAGUGGCUAAAUUCUUAAAUGCAGUGGAUCUCAUCUUUGACAUCAUCUUUGCAGAAGAGAUCAGUUAAAUUCUUGUGUGGUUGUUGACAAGCUUUUAUAGCAGUGUGGAAACAGAAAUCUCAUUGGUAUAGUAGAGUUUAUGCUAGCAGCAUAAUGUCUUUGUGGAAGGAUUAUUUUGAGCAGCUUGAAGAAUCAACAUUUUUUCAGAUUAGUAGAGUGCAGUGCUGACAAAAAUUCUCAGUAUUGCCAGCGUUCAUUCUCCUCAGAAAAGUGACAUUCCUCAUCUAUACCUUAACAGAAUAUUCCUGUGAAAGACUGCAUGAUCUGCAUGAAGAGCUUAUUGCCCCAGUUACCCAUGUGUGUCACUGUGGCAGAUAUUUUCCCUAAUUCCUAUUGAGCAGAGUCAAUUUCAACUAUGGUAAUAUUUGGUUGUAUAGAGUUGAUUGUAUUAUCAUUAUGAGCUAAUCAUCCUGCAACUUAUCAGCUGUUUAAAGAAUAUUUGUCGAUGCUCAAGGACCUAGCGCAAACAGCUGUUGUUGCAAAGGCACUUUAUUCAACUCAUUUCACGAAAUGGAUUGAGUUGUUCCCCAUUUGUUGUAUAGAUGCAUCAAGAGUUCAUGCCAGAUUUAUGUCACAUGGGAUACAUAUUACACUCAAUCACUGUACUAUAUUUAACAGUUCCACUAAUACUCUGUUUGCUUAAUUCUGGUACUAAAGCUUUCACCCCCAUAGCAUUGUCGCACAUGCAGGCCAGCUCCCUAGAGUUACCCUUACCAUCUGCUGUAUUCCUUCUUCAAAGCUGUCAGUGCUGAAAUAUUAUACAAACCCAGUUCAAUUAACUUGUUCCAAUGGCAAAUGAGUAUUGAUCUCUUCCCAAUCCCUGAGCACCUUAAUAUGAGACUGAGCAUCCUUCAAAAUCUCCUUGAAUGAGAAGAAACUGGGAACAUGGGCAACGGUUGUGAAGUAUGAAGGAAUCCCAGGAAGCUCAAUAUUCUUGGCAAUGUUUGUGCGAGGAUCAUAACAAGCUAAGUUGCUGUUCUUAUGAUUCACUAAUAUUUUCUCGUCCUUGAGAUACUUUAUGGGUCGAUACUGACCAAUAUAGCACACUUCAGUCCAAGAAUCUUGCACACCAUAAUCCUUCAUCACCCACAAGUGAAAAGUACUGCCAUGAUCAAUCACAAAAAGGCAACCUCCCAGCUCUCCAAUGUUCACUCUCCACUUUACCCUGUACCCACGCGAAGCAAAUUGCGGCGGCGGCCGUACAACACCAAAGCUUUCGGUUUCUAAAUCGAAUGAGAUAAUGAAAUCCGAGGCCGAGCUAUGGCCAUCAUCAGAAACCCAGUGAAUCUUUCCAUUCAAGAACACCCCUUUAAAGAAGAAGCUAGAGGAACAGGAUUUACGAAAGCCUUCAGGGGCACACCCAAUGCUCCUCCAGAAUUUCUCACCUAGUGUAUAUACCUCAGUCAUCAUGGCCCUCCGACUAACCAACCUCACAACCUUGUACUGGUGGGUUUUAGGACAGUAACCAAACCCAGAAACAACCUGACUAUGAAUCUCUUCGUGACCCAAGCCCUCUGUUCUUGAUGGAAGGUUUAUGUACUCGCCAGUUAUUGGAUUACACACGAUAACAGGGUUGUAGAGAGGAGGCUUCCCCAGGCAAAGGAAACCAUUACAUGAAUUCAAGAUAACAAGAUCAUGCAAUGGGAGCCUAAAUUUGAGUCUGGGUACUUGAACAUCAAGAUCAGCUGCGAUUUCGUGUUCCAGACGGAGCAAACAGAGAAAUCUAGAGAUGCGAUCGCCAACGCAAAGAAGAGCAUCGACGGGUGAUGUUGAGAAGUAGCUACGAGCGAAUUGAGGGUUUGAUGUGAUUAUGUGGCGGAGCGUAGUACAUACGCACCUGCAUGAUAUGAUAUUGUCGAUGGGGAGUCGGCAUAGUAUGUCGACAAGAAUAUCCACAGGCAGCUCUGUUAUGUUAGUGGAAACUGAUGAGCCUUUGCUUGCUUUUCUUGGUAGCUUUGGCGAUGAAUCCUGAUAAUCAUUUCCAAAUCCAAAGUUUUCUUUUUCCCUUGAUUUUUCUCGGAAAGCAAACAGAGCUUUGGACAACAACAUCUUUGACGAAAGUUAAAAUGCAGAUUGCAGAGCAGAAACGAAAAGAGAGCAAAGAAGAAGACGAAAUCAGUUGACUCUCUUUUGAAGUCUGCCUGCCUCCACGAAACGCGGCGUUUUAAGCCCGCCACUCUUGAAAGUUGAUACACACAGUUUGCCUGCGCCUAGCAAUUUCCAUUUUCCAGUCCCAUGACUUCUUUCUUUCUACAGCCACCCUGCAGCCUGCUCUCCCACACUCAUCUUAUACAUUAUGGAGAAGGCAGCGGUGCAACACCAAACUCUUUGCUCUCAAAAUCAAACCAGACCAUAAUGUAUGAAUGCUAUGAACCACAACUAUGAUGAGAAAUCCAGUCAAGAAAAUUCCAUAGUGAAGUCUGCGAAUUCUUGAACAAACUCAUAUACAAAUUUAGGAGCAUUUCCAUGAUUUCUCACCCGAUGUAUAAUAUAUACCUCGCACAUUACAAUAAAAUCCUCUUCAGCUUUGCCAAUUCUUCGCUGCACUAACCGUACCGCCUUGUAUUGUUUGCUUAUAGAACUGCAACCCAACCCAGAAAGAACAUCCCUGUCAAUCUCCUUGUUCGAGUUCUUUUUCCGUAAG
rnacentral:misc_RNA from 1 species